rnacentral:lncRNA from 1 species
AAAUCGAUCAACUCAAAUAAAACUCAAAAUCAACACAUAUAUACACAUGUACGUACCUAUAUAUAGCUCCACAAACUAAUUAUAGACAGAUUUCAACAACACCCAAACUUUUUCUCCCGUUUUUUUUUUCCCAGAUGAGUUGCUUCCCAGAUCUGCGAAUAUAAAGAACUUUAGCCAACGAACCAUAAUUUCGUCGGCUAAAGAAUGUUUAAGUCGUCGGCUAAAGUCUGUAAACUUUAGUCGUCGGCUAAAAUUGAUUAUAGCCGACGAAAAUAUAAAUUAGCCGACGAAGGAAAAUUUCGUCGGCUAAAGUCUAACGGUUCGUCGGCCUGAUUUUUUUUUUUCGUCGGCUAAACCCUUUCUUCUGGUAGUGUUCUAAGAGGUAGCGUCUAUUUGAUCAAACAAACAGCUUGCCGUCUCACUAGGCUAGCCAAGACACGUAAAAUGUGCAUACCGAGCCACAACCACGUCGCUGUUCUAGGAUAUUCUCUAUGUGUGCCUUGGCCUUAUGCCAAUAGGAUAUGUAGUUAGACUAGAUCUAUAUAUUCAUAUCUUUACCAUAUUGCUAUUGUGUAAUUCCCUAUAUAAAGGGCUCCUAUCAAUGAAUAAGAUGAUGACUCUCUUGCUAUCUCUUUGUCUCUACACUUUAUCCUUUAUCACGUUAUCAGCACUUUGUUCUAACCUAGAGCCAUUAGCCCACCAUUUUUUUUCUAAACCCUAAAAACCAAAACCCUAAAAUCGGGCAGCCUUGUUUUUCCCGAUUUCCGACCAAAAUUCCGACUGCCCUCCGCCGGAAUUUUAUAUCCCCAGAAAGCUCUCUCCGCCCCGGAUCCAACGCCACCGGUCUCACCCUGAGAACCGGCCGGAAAGUCUCCGAACCGGCCGCCGGAAGAUUCCAGACCGCCGUCGCUACCGACCACCGGUUCACCACCUUCCCUUGCUCCGAUCAACCUGAAAUUUUGACAGCAGCUUCCCCAUCCAGAGAUGCUCCUCCUAUCAAAUUUUCAGCCCCAAAUUAGAAGUAUAAGUAGACGAAACGUUAUUUCUCCUCUCGGCAGCCUUUAGAAAUGUAUGUUUUUUGAAACCUUAAACUUUUC